UACGUAGGGUGCAGGCGUUAAUCGGAAUUACUGGGCGUAAAGCGUGCGCAGGCGGUUUGCUAAGACAGGUGUGAAAUCCCCCGGGCUUAACCUGGGAACUGCGCUUGUAACUGGCAAGCUAGAGUGUGGCAGAGGGGGGGUGGAAUUCACGUGUAGCAGUGAAAUGCGUAGAGAUGUGGAGGAACACCGAUGGCGAAGGCAGCCCCCUGGGCUAACACUGACGCUCAUGCACGAAAGCGUGGGGAGCAAACAGG
rnacentral:rRNA from 1 species